UACGUAGGGUGCGAGCGUUAAUCGGAAUUACUGGGCGUAAAGCGUGCGCAGGCGGUGACCCAAGUCAGAUGUGAAAUCCCCGGGCUUAACCUGGGAACUGCAUUUGAAACUAGGUCGCUAGAGUAUGGCAGAGGGGGGUAGAAUUCCACGUGUAGCAGUGAAAUGCGUAGAUAUGUGGAGGAAUACCGAUGGCGAAGGCGGCUUCCUGGCAUGUAACUGACACUCAUGUUCGAAAGCGUGGGUAGCAAACAGGAUUAGAAACCCUGGUAGUCCCUG
rnacentral:rRNA from 1 species